GAUGAACGCUGGCGGCGUGCCUAAUACAUGCAAGUCGAGCGAACGGACGAGAAGCUUGCUUUUCUGAUGUUAGCGGCGGACGGGUGAGUAACACGUGGAUAACCUACCUAUAAGACUGGGAUAACUUCGGGAAACCGGAGCUAAUACCGGAUAAUAUUUUGAACCGCAUGGUUCAAAAGUGAAAGACGGUCUUGCUGUCACUUAUAGAUGGAUCCGCGCUGCAUUAGCUAGUUGGUAAGGUAACGGCUUACCAAGGCAACGAUGCAUAGCCGACCUGAGAAGGUGAUCGGCCACACUGGAACUGAGACACGGUCCAGACUCCUACGGGAGGCAGCAGUAGGGAAUCUUCCGCAAUGGGCGAAAGCCUGACGGAGCAACGCCGCGUGAGUGAUGAAGGUCUUCGGAUCGUAAAACUCUGUUAUUAGGGAAGAACAUAUGUGUAAGUAACUGUGCACAUCUUGACGGUACCUAAUCAGAAAGCCACGGCUAACUACGUG
rnacentral:rRNA from 1 species